rnacentral:rRNA from 1 species
UCGGGACCUACCCAGACGUGGGGGAUAACGUAGGGAAACUGUACGCUAAUACCGCAUGCGUCCUACGGGAGAAAGCGGGGGAUCUUCGGACCUCGCGCGGUUGGAUGGACCGAUGUGCGAUUAGCUAGUUGGUGGGGUAACGGCUCACCAAGGCGACGAUCGCUAGCUGGUCUGAGAGGAUGAUCAGCCACACUGGGACUGAGACACGGCCCAGACUCCUACGGGAGGCAGCAGUGGGGAAUAUUGGACAAUGGGCGCAAGCCUGAUCCAGCAAUGCCGCGUGUGUGAAGAAGGCCUUCGGGUUGUAAAGCACUUUUAUCAGGAGCGAAAUCUGCAGGGCUAAUACCCAUGCAGUCUGACGGUACCUGAGGAAUAAGCACCGG